rnacentral:rRNA from 1 species
AGAGGGUGCAAGCGUUAAUCGGAAUGACUGGGCGUAAAGGGCGCGUAGGCGGAUAAUUGAGUUAGAUGUGAAAUACCAGGGCUCAACCUUGGGAAGUCAUUUAAUACUGGUUGUCUAGAGUAGAGUAGAGGGGAGUGGAAUUUCCGGUGUAGCGGUGAAAUGCGUAGAUAUCGGAAAGAACAUCAGUGGCGAAGGCGACUCUCUGGGCUCAUACUGACGCUGAGGCGCGAAAGCGUGGGGGUAUCGAACAGGAUUAGAUACCCUGGUAGUCCACGCUGUAAACGAUGAAGACUAGAUGUUGGUGGGUAAAACCUAUCAGUAUCGGAGCUAACGCAUUAAGUCUUCCGCCUGGGAGUACGGCCGCAAGGUUA